CGGUGAAAUGCAUUGAGAUCGGAAAGAACACCAACGGCGAAAGCACUCUGCUGGGGAGAUCGGAAGAA